UACAGAGGGUGCGAGCGUUGUUCGGAAUUAUUGGGCGUAAAGGGCGCGUAGGCGGGCGCCACAAGUCACUUGUGAAAACUCUGGGCUCAACUCAGAGCCUGCAAGCGAAACUGUGGUGCUGGAGUAUGGGAGAGGUGCGUGGAAUUCCCCGGUGUAGCGGUGAAAUGCGUAGAUAUCGGGAGGAACACCGGUGGCGAAGGCGGUUCUCUGGGCAUUACCUGACGCUGAGGAGCGAAAGUGUGGGGAGCGAACAGG
rnacentral:rRNA from 1 species